CCGCCCCGCAUUUUGUGCUGGCCCCGCCCCCUCGCUGGGGUCUCCCGGCCUCCACCCUUUUCUUCCUGGAGCCUCGGGUCCUCAGCCGGGUCCCCCGGUUCUUUCUCACUUCCCGCCAGGUCCUGCGACGGCGGCCGUCUGCCCGGGCCGCGGCCUGCGCCCGCCUAGGUCCCUCCCCCCCGCCCCGGUUCCGCUGCAUUGCACUUGACCCCCGCUGCCCGCGCGCCCACCCGGCCGCGGCGCGGGCUCCGCCGUUCCUCCCGCUGUGUCCUCGCCCGGCGGCGGCUCGGGGGGCGCGGGGGCGUGGACGCCUCCCUCCGUCGCCGGCCCCCGGCGUCUGUCCGCACCCUGCGGGGCUUCCCGGACCCCGGCCCUGCGGAGUGGGGUCCCCGCCGGCGUGGGCCCGCGGGUCUCUGUGCGAGGACCCCCGGGUCGGGGCUCAGGGGUCGGAACGCCCGCUUUUGAGGCCCAGCUGUCGUCGGUCAAAUCCGCGAAAACGACAAUGGGUGAUUUUUCUUCCCCCCUCAAAAGUCAGUUUUACUUUGAAAAGUUCAGAGUGGUUGGCACUAGCCCUCUUUCUGGUUUGAGUUUAGAACCAUUCGCACAGCGGCGUAAGAUCAGGGAACGGUUAGGCCCAACGCUGACCCUGGCUCUGUGGACAAGCAGGUGCACCCGCCGGCGCGGGGGGCGAGAGGGAGCACCUGUCCCGCGUGGAGGCAGCGCGCACCUUGCCACCUCGGUGGUGGCAGACAGUCGCAGUCCCUGGCCACUCCCGCUUGGUUCUGGUCUGCAACGUGAUCUGCCAUUGGCAUCGCAGUGGUUCGUUCUGUUAAACAGCAGAGGGAUUGAUUUGGGGAGUUGGGUGGAGAUGGUGUUUCAGAGGCAGGUGUGUCAGGUGCGCGUGUGUGAAUCCGGCCGGGCCGGGACCCUGGUUUCUCCUCCCAGGCUGUGGCUGGGCUCAGGAACGAGGCGUGCCACGUACAGACGUGCUCCGGGGCGGCGUUGGUGGGUGGGGGCUCUCGGGAACACCGGGUGUCCAGCGGUUUGAGUGUGGUCUCCCUCGCAGCAGAAGGGUGUAGUGGUGCUGGUCAUCUUCCUAGCCUUACCUUGGGUGGAAAUGCUGGAACUUGGUGUUUAGUUGAAGAUGGAAUAGAUUUUGGUCUGGUCUUUAUGGUUUUCAGGGGAAUUUGAAAUCUUGCUAAUGGCAUUUGUGGAUAACAAUGAUCUUUCAAAGAGUUGAGUAAUUAAGUUAUGGGUUUCAAAGAUCUCAUUUCCGUGUUUGAUAUUUGAACAUAAUGACUUUUCACAAUGGAGGGUAUUCUAACCAGUCUGCGAGUGCCACACAGAGUGCAAUUCAUUGGAAAGACAAGGAAGACGCUGGAACUAGAAGGGAGCAUUUGGAACGGUUGGGCCCACAGCCGUAUCUGGUGGUGACUAGAGCCUUGGACUCCGAGCGGGGGAAUGUGUGGUCGGAGACAGGGAACACUUUCACCUCCCUGGGCCCGCGAGAGUCCGGCCAUUGGGACGUCCUUCAUCUGCUUUUCACAGGCUCUGUCAGUCUGUCUACUGAUUUUUUUUUUUUUUUUUUGAGAGGCAGAGUGGACAGUGAGAGAGAGAGAGACAGAGAGAAAGGUCUUCCUUUGCCGUUGGUUCACCCUCCCAUGGCCGCCGCGGCCGGCGCACUGCGGCCGGCGCACCGCGCUGAUCCGAUGGCAGGAGCCAGGAGCCAGGAGCCAGGUGCUUUUCCUGGUCUCCCAUGGGGUGCAGGGCCCAAGCACCCGGGCCAUCCUCCACUGCACUCCCUGGCCACAGCAGAGAGCUGGCCUGGAAGAGGGGCAACCGGGACAGAAUCCGGCGCCCCAACCGGGACUAGAACCCGGUGUGCCGGCGCCGCAAGGCGGAGGAUUAGCCUAGUGAACCACAGCGCCGGCCUAGUCUGUCUACUGAUUUCACGUCGUGGUUGGGCAUGUAUCCUUUCUGUUCGCAAUCCUGGUAUUCAGAAAUCCGUGUUCCAGCAUGGCACUUGAGUCUGAUUUAUGCCUCCCAUUCAUAUUAUGUAUUGUUUAUGAGUGUUUUUUCCUGUGGGACUUUUUUUUAACAACAAAAAACACUUGUGGGUAAUAUGCUGAACUGCUCUGGAAAUCUGGUCUAGACAGAAGAAUGUCCUUUUUAAAAAUGGAAAUAAAAAUGUUUGUUUUCAUCCCCCUUGAAAAGUGGAGAGGAAGGGAGUGAGAGAGGGAGAGAUGGCGCUGAUGCACUUUCCCCAGUGCCUGCAACAGCUCGGGAUGGGCCAGGCUGAAGCCUGGAGCCGCCUCCCCAGCAGGGGCCCGGCUGCCUCCCAGGAUGAAUGAGCAGGGAGUUGGGGUGGAAGUGGAGUGGCCCAGACUUGAACUGGCGCUCUGAUGCAGGAUUCGGGGGCAGAAGCAGCACUUAAACCUCCGAGCCACAAUGCCAGCCACUGUUUGAGUCUUUAUAUUUGAAAUCAUGUUAUUUUGGGGCUGGCAUUGUUGUGUAGUGGGUAGGGCUGCGGCCCUCGACUCUGGCAUCCUAUGUGGGCACUGGGUUGAGUCCCUGCUGCUCCACUUCUGAUGCAGCUCUCUGCUCAUGGCCUGGGAAGAGCAGUGGAAGAUGGCCCAUGUGUUUGGGCCCCUGAUACUCACGUGGGAGACCCAGAUGAAGCUCCAGGCUCCUGGCUUCAGCCUGGCCUGUGCUGGCCGUUGCGGCCAACUGGGGAGUGGACCAGUGGAUGAAAGACCUCUAUGUCGUUCCCUCUUUCUAUAACUCUUUCAAAAAAUAAAUAAAUCUUUAAAAGAUAAUGUUAUUCAAUGAGUGCUAUUGUGAUAUUUUAGUAGGAAAAUAGCUUUUAAGUGGUUUCUGUAGGCUUAGGGGCAAAAUAUGUGCAAAAUCCAGUGUCUUAGAGCAUUAUUUUGGAGCCGUUUUAGAGUUCACUGGCAAAUCGGAUAUUUUGGAAACAUUUUGAUGUAAAAUUUGAGCAAGAUUUGCAAAAACUUCUCACAUGGUAUAGAGGUGAAUUUCAGUUAACAUUAUUUAGGCCAUUUUGGGCAAAAGAACGGGAUUCAGAGCCCUAAGGGUUCCACAGUGCUCUUCAGGAAAAUGAAAUUCUAUUCUGUGCAGCAGCCAGGUGAAACACCACGUGCUUUCCUGCCUGGAAAUGCUCGCUGGCCUGGUAUCUUUGGAGCGUGACUGUGUAUUGCGAAGAGAAGAAUUCACAUCCACGUAGAGAGAAAGCAGGAGACCUUCCUUGAUAGCACAUGGAGAUGUGCGGCUGUCUUGGAAGUUAGCACAAGCUGUGUCACACCGCCUUGUGUCUCGGCUUUGCUGCUAACAAACAUGGGAGAGAAAUGGUGUUAAUAAUGGCUAUUUUUAAUUGAUCAGUAACAAGUGAUCAAACAGUUGAUUCAAAGAUUUAAGUUUCUCUUAAAGAUUAAGAGGCCAAGUGCCGUGGCUCACUGGUUGAUCCUCUGCCUGCGGCGCCGGCAUCCCAUGUGGGCUCCGGGUUCUAGUCCUGGUUGCUCCUCUUCCAGGCCAGCUCUCUGCUGUGGCCCGGGAGGGCAGUGGAGGAUGGCCCAACUCCUUGGGCCCUGCACCCACAUGGGAGACCGUGAGAAGCACCUGGCUCCUGGCUUCAGAUCGGUGUAGCACCGGCCAUAGCAGCUAUUUGGGGAGUGAACCAAUGGAAAGAAGACCUUUCUCUCUCUCUCUCUCUCUCUCUCUCUCUCUCUCUAACUCUACCUGUCAAAUUAAAAAAAAAAAUUUUAAGAAAAUGUUCUGACUUUGUUGAUUUGUAUCAAUAAAAACAUUAAGGAAGGCAGAACUUUGUAAGGUUUAUUUAUUUAUAUCAGAAUUAGGGAGAGAGAGAGGAAGAGAGAGAGGAAGAGAAAGGAAUCUUUGGUCCACGGUUCACUUCUCAGAUGGCUGUCAGGAGCUUCAUCCAGGUCUCCCACAUAGAUGCAGAGGCCCAAGGACUCGGGCCAUCUGCUGCUGCUCUCCCAGGUGCAUCAGCAGGGAGCUGGAUCGAAAGUGGAGCAGCCUGUACCCCAGCUGGUGCCCAGAUGGGAUGGCAGCGCUGUAGGGGUAGCUUAACCCGAUGGGCCACAGUGCCAGCCCCCAGGCAGAACUGCUGUUUCAACAACUGUAACCUGGUUGCUGGGGUGAGGUGGAGUAGUGAUUAGUUGAUAGCCAGUGGGUAUGACAGUUUUCUUAAGGCCCUCGUUAAAUGUAGGAGGGCACAGCCUAGGUACGUCUUGAACCAGAUUAUCUAAAGAUGUAGGAUGGGUUAGUUCUGCUUCCUGGCCCUCUGGCUAAGAUCAAGUGUAGGAUGGGUUAGUUCCAACACUGUGGCAAACCUCAAGUUGCAGUUUUAUACUUUCAAAGGAAUCACAUUCUGCCCAGUGCCAGUGCAGGUUCUAUCAGCGAUUUUGUUAUUUGAUCACAUUUCUGUUGUCUUUAAAAAAAAAAAAAAAAAAAAACAAAAACAAAAACACCUUUCCACCCUCAAAAUCCUUUUCUCCUUGUAAUCUUAUUGACCCGCCUAAGUGACUUGAAACAUUAAAUUUUUUUUAAGAUUCACUUAUUUAUUUAAAAGUCAGAGUUACACAGAUAUAAGGAGAGGCAGAGAGAGAGAGGUCUUAUAUCCGCUGGUUCACUCUCCAAUUGGCUGCAGUGGCCAGAGCUGCACCGAUCUGAAGCCAGGAGCCAGGAGCUUCCUCUGGGUCUCCUGUGUGGGUGCAGGGGCCCAAGAACUUGGGUCAUUCUCUGCUGCUUUCCCAGGUCAUAGCAGAGAGCUAUGGAUUGGAAGUGGAGCAGCUGGAACUCUGUGCCCAUAUGGGAUGCCGGCACUGCAGGCAGUGGCUUCACCCACUACACCACAGCCCAGCCCCAAAACAUGAAAUCUCUCAUAGACUUUAUUCCAUAUGUGUUUUCAAAGUAGUUGUGAUGCAUCAGACCAGAAUUUUUUGCUCUAACAGUUCAGAACGCCAUUAUUUGUAACUAAGAAAGUUGGUUUUUUUUUUUUUUUAAUUUGACAGAGUUAGACAGUGAAAGAGAGAGAGAGAGACAAAGGUCUUCCUUCUGUUGGUUCACUCCCCAAAUGGCCGCCACGGCCGGUGCUGCGCUGAUCUGAAGCCAGGAGCCAGGUGCUUUUCCUGGUCUCCCAUGCAGGUGCAGGGCCCAAGGAGUUGGGCCAUCCUCCACUGCACUCCUGGGCCACAGCAGAGAGCUGGCCUGGAAGAGGGGAAACCGGGACUAGAACCCGGCGCCCAUAUGGGCUGCCAGCACUGCAGGUGGAGGGUUAACCAAGUGAGCCACGGCGCCGGCCCCAGGAAGUUGGUUCUGAAUCUCAGGUUUUUCUUUCUCUUCUACAGAUGUUCGUUUUCUUGGUUUGGUUGAGGGGAAGUUCUGGAGGCCGGGUUACUGGUGAGGUAUUUUCUCAUGAAUUAAGAAAAAAAGAAAGAAGUAAGGAAACACUGACCCAUAAUAUUUCAACAUCAACCCAAUGAUCCGGGUAAUUGGCCUGGCUGUUUUGUAACACUGUUAUGAGUACUGGCCAAACAGCACAUUUUAUUGUGCGGUUCGGAAAGUUCAGAUGGAUGAAGAAUUUUGAUAUCGUUACAUUGCCCUGAUUAUCUAGCGGAGAAAGGCUUUAAGGGCUCUUAAUUUAGGAUUCAAAUAUUUGUAAUCUCAAAACCGUUUUAGAAGUUAAGUGUUUUUGAGCAAAUAAGGAAUGUGAAGAAUCUGGCUUUGUCCCUGACUUACAUGACUGCUUUGCUUGCUGUUUUUGAGUGAAUUUCCUAGAGAAAGCUCCCAACUUGGAAUGGCCUGUGAUCCCAGGCACACUCUGGGAGGCCCUUCCCGCUCCGACAGAGCCAGCGGAGCCGUGUUUAAAAACAAAGGCGCCUCGUGUGCGGAUGGGGCACAUCCUCUUCAAAUGGUAGAGUUAGGAUUGUGUCUCCAGAUGCAGUUGAAUCCAUUUAAAUAUUUAAACUAAGUGGAAUGUUGUUCCCACAUUUCUGGAUUUCAUUGUUUGAAACAAGGCUUGAGUGACGCACAAUCAGUGCCCCUGGUGCUGCACCCCCCUCUGCCCUUCCAGCGGCCUGCACCUCGGCAGACAGGAAUUCUAAUUGGCUGAGGAAUGUCGGCCACGCCGGGGCCCUGAGCCUGAACCUACUCCGCUGCCUGCUGGGAGAUGCGUCUCCGAUGUCUGCAGCUCGCAGCUUGCUCUCCGGAUGCCCGCAGUUGACGCUGUCGUAGACGGCAGCCUGCUUCCUCCUUUGUAUGCUGUGCGGCCGCUGGGCUGUCUGAAGCCUUGGUGCUUUCCCGGGGCGCAGAUGCUGGAGUAGGAAUCAGAAGGUCUGACUUUCAUUUCUCACCACAGAAGCAACCUCAGGGAAGAAAGGCGGAGGCUGUGCGUAGAAUCGCGAUCUGUGCACGACUCUGCCUUCCUGGCUGUACUGGGAGAUACCUGCUUGCUUUUGUACUGCCCAAGACCUGAUGAAGAUGGAUUCAGUAUUUUAAUGAGUGCUUAUGAAUUAUUUAUAGACUAGCAUGCUGGAAGUACAGAGUGAUGGGUUGCUGUUAUUUCUUAGCCUACGUAACCAUGUAAAUGAUAAAGCUACUUGUGCUGUACGUUGACAUGGGAGAAAAUCCAUGGAACCGACUGCUGAUCCUGGCACAGUAGUGCUCAGGAAUGGAUUGUCACAUUCUCUGUGAGCGCAGAGACCUUCCUGAGAGAACUAGUGUUGCAAACCGAAGCCGGCCUCCUCUUCAAGGGGGAAGCCUUGGCGGCCUUCCUGCUCAAACCUGGAGCCGUCAGGGAUGCACACAGUCACGUAAGACGUCAGAGUGCGGGCGGCCACCCUGCUGCUGUUCACGGCGAGGUGACGGUGUCGCUAUCUGCACGGAGUGAAGAGCGGCUGAAAACGCUUGCAGACAGUAAAGCACUUAGUAAAGUAGCUGGAUAGAAAAUUUCUUCUUGUAAAAAUAGGAUAAAAUCAAUGUGCAGUCGCAGGCUAGGGAAAGCAGUUUUAAUCGAUGUGAAAAUGAAAGUCUGGUUUUCUUUUUUUUUUUUUUAAGAUUUAUUUAUUUAUUUGAAAAUCAGACUUACUCUGAAAGAAAAGGAGAGGCAGAGAGAGAGAGAAUCUUCCAUCCGCUGGUUCACUCCCCAGUUGGCCACAGCGGCCAGUGCUGAUCAGGAGCCAGGAGCUUCUUGUGGGUCUUCCACGUGGGUGCAGGGGCCCAAGGACUAGGGCCAUCUUCUGCUGCUUUCCCAGGCCACAGCAGAGAGCGGGAUCGGAAGUGGAGCAGCUGGGACUCGAACUGGUGCCCAUAUGGGAUGCAGACACUGCAGGCAGUGGCUUUACCCGCUAUGCCACAGCGCCAGCUCCAGCCUGAUUUUCUUAACAUACGAAGAGCUUUCAAAAUUAAUUUUAGAAGACCAGUAACCUAGUAGGCAAAGAAUAGGGGCAAGUCACAGAAAAGAAAACAAAAAUGGAUUUUUAAAUAUGUGAAAAGACACAGUUCUAUUUCCCCUUACAUAUCCAUUUUCUUUCCUUUAUUUGAAAUUGACAAUCAGCCCUACUUGAACUAAAUAAAAUACAAGUCAGAACUCAGGAUGAAACACUUCUUCAUCUCUCAGAUGGGCAGACCAAAGAGUUCUGAAACCAUUGAGCGCUCACCAGGGAGUGGCUGAGCAGGGGCUCUCGGGAACGUAGAUGGCGCAGUAGCGGCAGUAGCCAGCGAUGGAGGGCAGUUCUUGUUAUUUCUAAAGGAAGAUACGUACCGAGGCCAUCCACGCUCGCUGUACUCACUGUUGCGUGUGGUGCGGGAUCACGGGUAUCUUGGAAUGGAGAGAGAGGCCAGUCCUCACUCCCAGGAGCCCCGCAGCACACAGGGAAGUGGCAUUCAGUAGGAGCAGUUACAUGACAACAGAAGUGCAGGCAGGAAUUGUGCUAAGCACUCGUCCUGAGCUGUAUUUGCCCUGCUCCAGGAACUCACGGAUGGACCACAGCCUUGUCCGUGUUUUGGAGACGUACACUGGAGGCAGACAGCCCAGUUCUGCCACAUACCGGCAGCCUUGGCCAUAUCCUGGCUUCAUCUUCAGCCUCAGACCAUCCCUGUGUGGCCGGGCUGUUGCAAGGGACCGGUGAAGUCACUCAGCACCCACCUGCUGCCAGCACAGGGCAGGGACCAGCUAGCCUCAGGCUUCACUGAGAGUCUGCUCUGAGCUGCCUUGGGACGUUCUGUGUCUUCUUUGCACGUCGAUGGAAAGAGAGAAUCUAGUUUCUGAAUCCAGUUCUCGACUCCAGAUCUAAGUGCUCAGCACCAUUCAGUUGGGAGCACCCGCGUUGGGGCCUCCUUCCAGGAAGGUGACAGCUUGAGGGUGGUUGCACGCAGGGGAAGUGGCUCCCGCCUUCUUGGGACACAGAUGAAUAACAAUGUAACAGCGAAAGAGGACUUCUGUUCUGCAGAUGUCUGCCUCCACCUGCUCUCACCAACCUGGAUAUUUAUUUUUCUUGCCAUCUACAGCUUGGCCUACACCCCCUAUUGAUUAUUUGCUAAAGAUCAGAAUAAACAUUGCCUUCUUACUUAUUGCAUGUAUAUUUUCCAACUCUGCGGAACAAAUGCGUGGUUUUGGUACUUGCUGAAGUCUGAAGGCUCUGGUGUACCCCUGGGCUGUUGCUGUUUGGCCUUGACACCAUCCUUGUCUGUGCAAGCACUUUGCUGUAUGUUCACUGUGGGAGACGGAGCAUCUGUGGUUUUACGUCAUCAGUCUUUGAACUCAUGAAGUUCAAGGUUCAAGUUUAGGCAAGAAUUUGUGAGAGUAGGGACCUGUGGGUCCUAGAGACCUUUGAGCGGCAUCCCACUGCGAUACCGGUGGUUGUGCAAGACACGAGAAACAA